GGGGCGUUAGUCUAGCUUGGUAGGAUCGGAGCUUCGGGAGCUUCAGACGGGAGUUCGAAUCUCCCACGUCCCA
rnacentral:tRNA from 1 species